GCAUUGGUGGUUCAGUGGUACAAUUCUAGCUUGCCAUGUUGGAGGCCUGGGUUCCAUUCCCAGCCAAUGCA
rnacentral:tRNA from 1 species